GGAGGCAGCAGUGAGGAAUAUUGGUCAAUGGACGAGAGUCUGAACCAGCCAAGUAGCGUGAAGGAUGACUGCCCUAUGGGUUGUAAACUUCUUUUAUAUGGGAAUAAAACAGGGUAUGCAUACCCUCUUGUAUGUACCAUAUGAAUAAGGAUCGGCUAACUCCGUGCCAGCAGCCGCGGUAAUACGGAGGAUCCGAGCGUUAUCCGGAUUUAUUGGGUUUAAAGGGAGCGUAGGUGGAUUGUUAAGUCAGUUGUGAAAGUUUGCGGCUCAACCGUAAAAUUGCAGUUGAAACUGGCAGUCUUGAGUACAGUAGAGGUGGGCGGAAUUCGUGGUGUAGCGGUGAAAUGCUUAGAUAUCACGAAGAACUCCGAUUGCGAAGGCAGCUCACUAGACUGCAACUGACACUGAUGCUCGAAAGUGUGGGUAUCAAACAGGAUUAGAUACCCUGGUAGUCCACACAGUAAACGAUGAAUACUCGCUGUUUGCGAUAUACAGUAAGCGGC
rnacentral:rRNA from 1 species